AUGAAGAUUGGUACGAGAUUUCUCACUUGUGAUGUUUUCUUCAUUUUGGUUGUGAGUGAAAUUGGUGUUUCGAAUCAGAAGUUGUCAGUGUUUGCCGGAUCGGUUGGUUGCAUCGUUGGUAGAACAGGCCGCAGGUAUAUAAAUGGCGUAGCGAGUCUUCCGAUGUUGAGGCAGAAGCAAUUUGCACAGUGCUUGAAACUUUGA